rnacentral:lncRNA from 1 species
AGUCAAGUAUGACUGCCACAGAGAAAUGGUCCCAUCCAGGAAAUCAGAUAUUGAGUCCUACCUGAGUUUCCAGCAAGAAGCUCUGGCUUUCUGGAUCUGUGCUUCUCUGGUAGAGGAACCCUGAGGACUGAUCUACUCUUGCAGUUCUAAAACCAUGGCCCAUGCCUCGCUAUUCCCUGGGACACAACAAUAUUGAACGUAGGCUAGUUAAUAGCCCUACAAUCUCCUCUAAGUGUUCGAGUGAAAGGAAGAGUCACAUGUGUCUCACUUUAAACCAAAAGCUAGAAAUGAUUAAACUUAGUGAGGAAAGCAUGUUGAAAGUCCAGACAGGCUGGAAGCGAGGUCUCCUGUGCCAAACAGCAGGCCAAGUUGCACAUGCAAAGGAAAUGUUCUCGAAGCAAAUUAAAAGUAUUACUCCAGUGAACACACAAUGACAAGAAAGCGAAACAGUUUUAUUGCUGAUGUGGAGAAAGUUUUAGUGGUCUGGAUAGAAGAUCAAACCAGCCACAACGUUCUGUUAAGCCUAAACCUAAUCCAGAGCAAGGCCCUAAUGCUCUUCAAUUCUAU